GUGAAGUCGGAAUCGCUAGUAAUCGCGGAUCAGCAUGCCGCGGUGAAUACGUUCCCGGGCCUUGUACACACCGCCCGUCACACCAUGAGAGUUGGGAACACCCGAAGUCCGUAGCCUAACCGCAAGGGGGGCGCGGCCGAAGGUGGGUUCAAUAAUUGGGGUGAAGUCGUAACAAGGUACC
rnacentral:rRNA from 1 species